rnacentral:siRNA from 1 species
UCGAACCCAACACCUCCA